rnacentral:rRNA from 1 species
AUUGAACGCUGGCGGCAUGCCUUACACAUGCAAGUCGAACGGCAGCACGGGGCAACCUGGUGGCGAGUGGCGAACGGGUGAGUAAUGCAUCGCAACGUACCUUUCAGUGGGGGAUAACGUAGCGAAAGUUACGCUAAUACCGCAUAUUCUGUGAGCAGGAAAGCAGGGGAUCGCAAGACCUUGCGCUGAUUGAGCGGCCGAUAUCAGAUUAGCUAGUUGGUGAGGUAAAGGCUCACCAAGGCGACGAUCUGUAGCGGGUCUGAGAGGAUGAUCCGCCACACUGGAACUGAGACACGGUCCAGACUCCUACGGGAGGCAGCAGUGGGGAAUUUUGGACAAUGGGGGCAACCCUGAUCCAGCCAUGCCGCGUGAGUGAAGAAGGCCUUCGGGUUGUAAAGCUCUUUCGGCCGGGAAGAAAUCGUAUCAGCUAAUACCUGGUGCGGAUGACGGUACCGGCAUAAGAAGCACCGGCUAACUACGUGCCAGCCGCCGCGGUAAUAC